rnacentral:rRNA from 1 species
AUUGAACGCUGGCGGCAGGCCCAACACAUGCAAGUCGAGCGGAUGAAGGGAGCUUGCUCCUGGAUUCAGCGGCGGACGGGUGAGUAAUGCCUAGGAAUCUGCCUGGCAGUGGGGGAUAACGUCCGGAAACGGGCGCUAAUACCGCAUACGUCCUGAGGGAGAAAGUGGGGGAUCUUCGGACCUCACGCUAUCAGAUGAGCCUAGGUCGGAUUAGCUAGUUGGUGGGGUAAAGGCCUACCAAGGCGACGAUCCGUAACUGGUCUGAGAGGAUGAUCAGUCACACUGGAACUGAGACACGGUCCAGACUCCUACGGGAGGCAGCAGUGGGGAAUAUUGGACAAUGGGCGAAAGCCUGAUCCAGCCAUGCCGCGUGUGUGAAGAAGGUCUUCGGAUUGUAAAGCACUUUAAGUUGGGAGGAAGGGCAGUAAGUUAAUACCUUGCUGUUUUGACGUUACCAACAGAAUAAGCACCGGCUAACUUCGUG